rnacentral:lncRNA from 1 species
UGUCGUGCGCCCAGUUGGUGGGAGGCAGCUGCCAUUCAGUGCAGCCUUGCACCAGGCACAUUUUUCUCUAUGUUGUGGCUCAAAGAAUGGGGCCUCUUCUUUGCUUUCUUGGCAGCUGGCUCAACUGUUAGGCACCCUGUAGGGACCCUCUUGGAUGCCAUUGUAAGCCCUGGCCUAUGCCUAGCAGUGCUGAUCGGUUGCACCCUUAUGUGACGGGCCUGGCAACGUCUUGCUGCAGCGGUAGCCUAGAGUGCCAGUUUCAGUCCUGUCCCAUCGCUGCUGUUCUGAACACGAGCAAGCUUCUCUCCAAGGCCCUUCACGAUAUCAAGGCUGGCCACCAAAAACAGUGUGAACCUCGGUGCUAAGGGCUUGAAUGCCACUGGGUUGUAGUGCCGCCAACAGCGAGGGGAUUGCGUCGAGAUGAAAAAAGAGGAUGCGCGUGAUCACGUGCGAUGCAGCAGCAAUACUGGCGCGAGGGGGACAGAAAAUAAAGAAAACAUUGGUUGUGUGAAAA